rnacentral:rRNA from 1 species
UACAGGGGGGGCAAGCGUUGUUCGGAAUUACUGGGCGUAAAGGGUCUGUAGGUGGCCAACUAAGUCAGACGUGAAAUCCCUCAGCUUAACUGGGGAACUGCGUCUGAUACUGGAUGGCUUGAGUGUGGGAGAGGAAUGCGGAACUCCAGGUGUAGCGGUGAAAUGCGUAGAUAUCUGGAGGAACACCGGUGGCGAAGGCGGCAUUCUGGACCAUAACUGACACUGAGAGACGAAAGCCAGGGGAGCAAACGGG